rnacentral:rRNA from 1 species
ACUACGGGAGGCUGCAGUGGGGAAUAUUGCACAAUGGGCGCAAGCCUGAUGCAGCCAUGCCGCGUGUGUGAAGAAGGCCUUCGGGUUGUAAAGCACUUUCAGCGGGGAGGAAGGCGGUGAGGUUAAUAACCUCAUCGAUUGACGUUACCCGCAGAAGAAGCACCGGCUAACUCCGUGCCAGCAGCCGCGGUAAUACGGAGGGUGCAAGCGUUGAUCGGAAUUACUGGGCGUAAAGCGCACGCAGGCGGUCUGUCAAGUCGGAUGUGAAAUCCCCGGGCUCAACCUGGGAACGGCAUUCGAAACUGGGAGGCGAGAGUCCGGUAGAGGGGGGUAGAAUUCCAGGUGGAGCGGUGAAAUGCGUAGAGAUCUGGAGGAAGACCGGUGGCGAAGGCGGCCCCCUGGACAAAGACUGACGCUCAGGUGCGAAAGCGUGGGGAGCAAACAGGAUUAGAUACCCGGGUAGUC